GGGGUUGUGGCUCAGUGGUAGAGUGCUCACCUGGAGUGUGCGAAGCCCUGGGUUCCAUCCUCAGCAACACAU
rfam:Ictidomys tridecemlineatus contig090702, whole genome shotgun sequence.